ACCUGGGUGGCUCAGUCGGUUGAGUGUCUGACUUCAGCUUAGGUCAUGAUCUCACAGCUCGUGGGUUCGAGCCCCGCUUCGGGCU
rnacentral:tRNA from 1 species